rnacentral:rRNA from 1 species
ACACUCCUGCGGGAGGCAGCAGUGGGGAAUUUUGGACAAUGGGCGCAAGCCUGAUCCAGCCAUGCCGCGUGCGGGAAGAAGGCCUUCGGGUUGUAAACCGCUUUCGUCAGGGAAGAAAAGGUUCUGGCUAAUACCUGGGACUCAUGACGGUACCUGAAGAAUAAGCACCGGCUAACUACGUGCCAGCAGCCGCGGUAAUACGUAGGGUGCAAGCGUUAAUCGGAAUUACUGGGCGUAAAGCGUGCGCAGGCGGUUAUGCAAGACAGAGGUGAAAUCCCCGGGCUCAACCUGGGAACUGCCUUUGUGACUGCAUGGCUAGAGUACGGUAGAGGGGGAUGGAAUUCCGCGUGUAGCAGUGAAAUGCGUAGAUAUGCGGAGGAACACCGAUGGCGAAGGCAAUCCCCUGGACCUGUACUGACGCUCAUGCACGAAAGCGUGGGGAGCAAACAGGAUUAGAUACCCCAGUAGUCCCAU